GAAGAUCUCAGCAUCAAAGGGCAACAACCCUGGCGUUAAAACACAUCGGAUCAAAUCUGAUAUUUACAAUGUAGUCAAAGGCACAGUGGCAUUGAAAAACAAAACGCUGGGAGAUGUAUAGUAAAAGAUUCGUUGUAAUCAUUAAUCUGGUUUUCAGCUAGGAGAAUUAACUCUUGAGAGAUGAUGCACACAGCAGGCCUUCGGAACCGGUGUGCUAGUUACUAGGGAGACCACGCCUCCUUCAGACCACGCCUCCUUCCCGCAGUUUACAUCUUUCCGGCCUUCUUGCCCAUCUGCGCCGGCACUCGGAGGAUGUUGGGGGUCUCCUCCAUGACUCUGACUAGCAGGUUGUCGAUGUAGUCCUCCAGCUCCCGCACCUGAAACUCCUUCUUGCUGAUGGUCUCCUUCUGUUUGAGGACUAGCUGGAUCAGCUCAUCGUGGGUCAGCUGCGCGUGUUAAAACACGCGCCACCACACCCGGCUUAGAAAGCCACUUUCCACAAAGGAUGAAACCAGGCGGCUGACGAGAAGAGAGAAGGACUUUGGAGUCUGUAGAGUAGGGCCGCGAGCGAUUACAAGCCUGAGCUACCACACCCUGUUUAUGUGCUCCUGAGGAUCAACCCCA
rnacentral:lncRNA from 1 species